rnacentral:lncRNA from 1 species
UGCAACAUAGGAUUUAAUAAUCAAUUUCAUGCAUGUCUUUGCAUGCAUGUGUUUUCAGGCUGACUUUCUUACUUGCAUGAAUUCAUUUGCUUCUUGAUAAUGAAAUCAUCAUGUUACAUUUCUUGUAAAGACUUGUAAAUUCUACUGUAUUGGCAGUGCUUUAGAUAUAGGGAGUGGCAGGAAUGUAUUCAAUGUACAUUAAAUAUGUAGGUAUAAUUUCAAUCCUUGAUACAAGCCUUAGACAAAAUUCUGUCUUGCAUGGUUCUGUCCACAGGAGGGAGCUCGUACUAAGUAGUCAGGCAUCAUGGCUGGCCGAGGCGGAAUGGCACGAGGAGCAGCAUCCUGGAGGCUUCUACAGGAUCUAUCCCCGUGGCGACGACUGCAAAUACAGCAAGUUCCUUGACCAGGGAUCCAGCUACUGCCAGGAGACGGUGACCUCUAGAGCACGGGAGGAGUAUGCCAGAUGGCAUGGGACUCAUACGAGACCAGGAUGAUCAUAGAAGAGGAAGAGCUGGCGAGACAGCGUGAUCUGGCACAGAGGGACACUCUCCUGAGGCAGUUGGGCAUGGUCGAUGCCAUCCAGAGUCUCUUACGGCCCAAAACGUAUCACCCCACGCCAGCAAAGACUCACCGCCCAAUCCGCCAAAAAUGGAAGCUACAACUCCGGGAGCCACUUCUUUACACCACCUACAGUUGUCCUGAAGCACAUACAGGGCAGCAAUUCAACUUGCCAAGACUGUGCCAGCAGCAAACAAAACUGGCUACGGGUACCAGGUCGGGUGGGCUCUCCGUGUGUGUGAUCAAACUGGCCCUGCAUGAGAAGCAGGAACACAGACAACCGACAUUGCCACUGAGUAAGACAGCAUUUCCAGAUCAAGCCGAUCGAUUCAGUGUAACAGUGUAACAGGGUAAAAGUGUAACGGAGAAUUGGAAUAUAAAGUUUCAUUGCUCUCUGUGUGUUUGUGGGUGUGUGUGUGUGUGUGUGUUAGUAACUGGACGCUCUGUAGACCAGUGGCGUUGCAGUCUUAAACUCUCAGCAUCUCAGGAGAGCGAUGAGGACUUAAGUCGAGGACAUAUGACUGAAUCACACAACUCUCUCUCGUUCAGCUCGGUGGAUGAAGAAGUUCUGCUGGAAGCAGAGCACUCGGAAGCCAAAGACCCCAAACCCAAAAGGUGAGAAGAAAUUGAAAUCAGACCAUACAGUGGGCUCACAGCUGAGGCACUUCAGAAGCAAUGGUUCAGUGUGAUCAGUCUUUAUGCUCUCUGAUAAGAGCAUUGCCUCCUAACCAAUAUACACACAGCAAAUACAGUAAAAGCCACAUAAUGGCUAACUGUAUCUGUCUCUUACAGGUUUGACUGACCCGGAUGAAACUCACAGAUGGACACCACAUCUGAUUGCAUAAGCUCUGUAGAAUCCACAGAAUCCAACUAUUUUUGUGGUUAAAAUAUGUUAGCAUUUUCUUUACUCUCUCUCUUUGUGAUUGUGUGUGUGUUUCAAUGAAAUAAAAAAAAAUAAUAGGAAUGAUGGAAAUGUGAC